rnacentral:rRNA from 1 species
CGGGGGGUGGGGGCCCUAUACAUGAAGUCGAGCGAACAGACGAGGAGCUUGCUCCUUUGACGUUAGCGGCGGACGGGUGAGUAACACGUAGGUAACCUACCUAUAAGACUGGGAUAACUUCGGGAAACCGGAGCUAAUACCGGAUAAUAUUUCGAACCGCAUGGUUCGAUAGUGAAAGAUGGCUUUG